rnacentral:rRNA from 1 species
AUGACGUUAGCGGCGGACGGGUGAGUAACACGUGGGCAACCUGCCUGUAAGACUGGGAUAACUCCGGGAAACCGGAGCUAAUACCGGAUAACAUUUUCUCUUGCAUAAGAGAAAAUUGAAAGAUGGUUUCGGCUAUCACUUACAGAUGGGCCCGCGGUGCAUUAGCUAGUUGGUGAGGUAACGGCUCACCAAGGCAACGAUGCAUAGCCGACCUGAGAGGGUGAUCGGCCACACUGGGACUGAGACACGGCCCAGACUCCUACGGGAGGCAGCAGUAGGGAAUCUUCCGCAAUGGACGAAAGUCUGACGGAGCAACGCCGCGUGAGUGAUGAAGGCUUUCGGGUCGUAAAACUCUGUUGUUAGGGAAGAACAAGUACAAGAGUAACUGCUUGUACCUUGACGGUACCUAACCAGAAAGCCACGGCUAACUACGUGCCAGCAGCCGCGGUAAUACGUAGGUGGCAAGCGUUAUCCGGAAUUAUUGGGCGUAAAGCGCGCGCAGGCGGUUUCUUAAGUCUGAUGUGAAAGCCCACGGCUCAACCGUGGAGGGUCAUUGGAAACUGGGGAACUUGAGUGCAGAAGAGAAAAGCGGAAUUCCACGUGUAGCGGUGAAAUGCGUAGAGAUGUGGAGGAACACCAGUGGCGAAAGGCGGCUUUUUGGUCUGUAACUGACGCUGAGGCGCGAAAGCGUGGGGGAGCAAACAGGAUUAGAUACCCUGGUAGUCCACGCCGUAAACGAUGAGUGCUA